AUUGAACGCUGGCGGCAGGCCUAACACAUGCAAGUCGAACGAGUGGCGGACGGGUGAGUAAUGUCUGGGAAACUGCCCGAUGGAGGGGGAUAACUACUGGAAACGGUAGCUAAUACCGCAUACCAUCAGAUGUGCCCAGAUGGGAUUGGCUAGUUGGGGAGGUAAAGGCUCCCCAAGCCGACGAUCUCUAGCUGGUCUGAGAGGAUGACCAGCCACACUGGGACUGAGACACGGCCCAGACUCCUACGGGAGGCAGCAGUGGGGAAUAUUGCGCAAUGGGCGCAAGCCUGACGCAGCCAUGCCGCGUGAAUGAAGAAGGCCUUCGGGUUGUAAAGUUCUUUCGGUAGGGAGGCGUUAACUACAGAAGAAGCACCGGCUAACUCCGUGCCAGCAGCCGCGGUAAUUC
rnacentral:rRNA from 1 species